GCCAUCCUCCGUAAGAACAGAGCGAACUAUUCUUUCGCCUUUUACUAAAGAAUACCGUGUGCUUGCCGCAUUAAGCUGCAUACGCCUAUUUUUGGAGGGAUUUCUCUUUCUAAGUGAAAA
rnacentral:snRNA from 1 species